GAUGAACGCUGGCGGCGUGCUUAACACAUGCAAGUCGAACGAAGCAUUUGCGACAGAUUUUUUCGGAAUGAAGUUGCUUAUGACUGAGUGGCAGACGGGUGAGUAACGCGUGGGUAACCUGCCUUGUACUGGGGGAUAGCAGCUGGAAACGGCUGGUAAUACCGCAUAAGCGCACAAUGUUGCAUGACAUGGUGUGAAAAACUCCGGUGGUAUAAGAUGGACCCGCGUCUGAUUAGCUAGUUGGUGAGAUAACAGCCCACCAAGGCGACGAUCAGUAGCCGACCUGAGAGGGUGACCGGCCACAUUGGGACUGAGACACGGCCCAGACUCCUACGGGAGGCAGCAGUGGGGAAUAUUGCACAAUGGAGGAAACUCUGAUGCAGCGACGCCGCGUGAGUGAAGAAGUAAUUCGUUAUGUAAAGCUCUAUCAGCAGGGAAGAUAGUGACGGUACCUGACUAAGAAGCUCCGGCUAAAUACGUG
rnacentral:rRNA from 1 species